CCUACGGGUGGCAGCAGUGAGGAAUAUUGGUCAAUGGGCUUACGCCUGAACCAGCCAAGUCGCGUGAGGGAAGACUGCCCUAUGGGUUGUAAACUUCUUUUGUCAGGGAGCAACGCCGGCUACGUGUAGCCGGACUGAGAGUACCUGAAGAAAAAGCAUCGGCUAACUCCGUGCCGGCAGCCGCGGUAAUACGGAGGAUGCGGGCGUUAUCCGGAUUUAUUGGGUUUAAAGGGUGCGUAGGCGGAAUGCCAAGUCAGCGGUAAAAUCGCGGGGCUCAACCUCGCUCCGCCGUUGAAACUGGCGUGCUUGAGUGGGCGGGAAGCAUGCGGAAUGCGUGGUGUAGCGGUGAAAUGCAUAGAUAUGACGCAGAACUCCGAUUGCGAAGGCAGCAUACCGGCGCCCAACUGACGCUGAAGCACGAAAGCGUGGGUAUCGAACAGGAUUAGAUACCCGAGUAGUC
rnacentral:rRNA from 1 species